GAUUGUCCUGUCAGCCAAGCUGCAACAUCUGCUUGGCUGAGGGAGGGAGGGAUGGAGGGACAAUCUCACCUAAAACAGUCCAAAAAAAAUUCAAACAAAUGUAAAAAUGGUUUAAAAUAAAUAUUAUAUUGUUCUGGGCGGCAAAGUUAAAAUGAUCCACACAUAGCAAACUAAAGGAAGUUGAGCUUUUAAUAUGAUCCCUUUUAAUAUCAGCCUUGAUAUCACAUAAAAUAGAAUUUUACACGUCCCAGAUUCUUACAGGGCUUCAGGAAACGCAGGUAAGUACCUUGUAACUCGUGGAAUUGUAAGGAUUUGUUAUCGCUCCUGCAGCACUGCUACUUCACUGUACUUAAAACCUUAUUUUGUCUUUGAGUUUGUCGUUAUGAGUGGCUCCCAGCUGUCCGGAGGGAGGCCCUGGAGCUCAAAAAUAUCACCAGUGGACCAGGCACCCCCCCCCACAAACCGUGUGCUUCGCAAAAAGCCGGACAGACAACAAGCCUGACAGACAGAGAGGCUAUGGGAGGGGUUGAAGAUGGACCUGGAAUGGAUGGGCCUAGUGACACUGGCGAGGCCGAGUGCAGAAGCGACAUUCAAUCAUUUUGAGAUGGACCCGAGCAUUUUGGUCUGCAUGGAGAGUUCAACUGAAGUGAAUCAGUAGCAGCUCUACUCUGCGACUCAUAUCUCAGUCUACUUUGAAAGAGUCUACUUCUUCUGCAAAUGGAGAGUUCAACACAACAAAGACACGACUGUUGCUGUCAGUCAUCCAGCUGGAGACAGGACUCACUUCCAAAGCAAAGAAAGGAUUUUCUGCAGAACUCCCGAUGCAAACCCCAAAGACAGCUAACCCCUUCUUCAGGACCAAGAACAGGUUAACUCCAGGCAGUCACUGCCCUUUGUCACCUGGCUACUCACUGGCGAGUCACUCAUGAACCAGAGACUCCCAAAACCCUCCCACUAACCACAUACACACACACACACGUGUCGCAUGCUCAGCCGUCCUGGUAGGGGAUCUCUCUUUGACUUGGCCUACCUAAAGGUUUCUCCUUUUUCCCCUAAUAAGGGUUUUAAAGAGUUUUUCCUUUAAUGCUUGGAGAGUCUAAGGCUGAUGAUGCAAGACACACAAAUGUGUGAUAGUCUGAUGGGACCCAAAGUUGAGCUUUGUUUUCAUGUUAGUUUUAUGCUUUGAUAUUUUCAUGUAAUAAAAUGUAAAUGAAGUGACUAAAAAAA